rnacentral:piRNA from 2 species
UUCUUCCUACAUGCUGUGGUCAUCAGAGA